UACGUAGGGACCAAGCGUUGUUCGGAUUUACUGGGCGUAAAGGGCGCGUAGGCGGCAAUUCAAGUCAGCUGUGAAAUCUCCGGGCUUAACUCGGAACGGUCAGCUGAUACUGUUUUGCUAGAGUGCAGAAGGGGCAAUCGGAAUUCUCGGUGUGGCGGUGAAAUGCGUAGAUAUCGAGAGGAACACCUGAGGUGAAGACGGGUUGCUGGGCUGACACUGACGCUGAUGCGCGAAAGCCAGGGUAGCAAACGGG
rnacentral:rRNA from 1 species